rnacentral:rRNA from 1 species
GAUGAACGCUGGCGGCGUGCCUAAUACAUGCAAGUCGAGCGAAGGCACGCGGGUUUUCACCCUGUGACGAGUGGGGGGCGGGGGAGUGAUACACCGGUACAUGACCUGUAUAAGAGGCUGGUACGGCGAAAGGAGGCGAAAUAUCACAUACGAUCACAGGAUGAACGCCGGGGUCGUUGUGUAAAAGCUGUUUUUGGUAACACGAUGACAGAUCUGUGCGGUGGAUUAGCUAGUUGGUGGGGUAAAGGCCUACCAAGGCGACGAUGCAUAGCCGACCUGAGAGGGUGACCGGCCACACUGGGACUGAGACACGGCCCAGACUCCUACGGGAGGCAGCAGUAGGGAAUUUUCGGCAAUGGGCGAAAGCCUGACGGAGCAACGCCGCGUGAGUGAAGAAGGCCUUCGGUUCGUAAAGCUCUGUUGUUAGGGAAGAAUGACUGUGUACUAAAACGGCCGAGUCAUGACGGUACCGAAACAGAAAGCCACGGCUAACUACGUG